rnacentral:rRNA from 1 species
CCUACGGGUGGCAGCAGUGAGGAAUAUUGGUCAAUGGACGAGAGUCUGAACCAGCCAAGUAGCGUGAAGGAUGACUGCCCUAUGGGUUGUAAACUUCUUUUAUAAAGGAAUAAAACGAGGCACGUGUGCCUUUUUGCAUGUACUUUAUGAAUAAGGAUCGGCUAACUCCGUGCCAGCAGCCGCGGUAAUACGGAGGAUCCGAGCGUUAUCCGGAUUUAUUGGGUUUAAAGGGAGCGUAGAUGGGUUGUUAAGUCAGUUGUGAAAGUUUGCGGCUCAACCGUAAAAUUGCAAUUGAUACUGGCAGUCGUGAGUACAGUUGAGGUAGGCGGAAUUCGGGGUGUAGCGGUGAAAUGCUUAGAGAUCACGAAGAACCCCGAUGGCGAAGGCAGCUUAAUAAACUGUGACUGACAUUGAGGCUCGAAGGUGUGGGUAUCAAACAGGAUUAGAUACCCGAGUAGUC